GAUGAACGCUGGCGGCGUGCCUAAUACAUGCAAGUCGAGCGAACAGACGAGGAGCUUGCUCCUCUGACGUUAGCGGCGGACGGGUGAGUAACACGUGGAUAACCUACCUAUAAGACUGGGAUAACUUCGGGAAACCGGAGCUAAUACCGGAUAAUAUAUUGAACCGCAUGGUUCAAUAGUGAAAGACGGUUUUGCUGUCACUUAUAGAUGGAUCCGCGCCGCAUUAGCUAGUUGGUAAGGUAACGGCUUACCAAGGCAACGAUGCGUAGCCGACCUGAGAGGGUGAUCGGCCACACUGGAACUGAGACACGGUCCAGACUCCUACGGGAGGCAGCAGUAGGGAAUCUUCCGCAAUGGGCGAAAGCCUGACGGAGCAACGCCGCGUGAAUGAUGAAGGUCUUCGGAUCGUAAAACUCUGUUAUUAGGGAAGAACAAAUGUGUUAGUAACUAUGCACGUCUUGACGGUACCUAAUCAGAAAGCCACGGCUAACUACGUG
rnacentral:rRNA from 1 species